rnacentral:misc_RNA from 1 species
CAACCCCCAAGCCCUGGCUGCUUGGUGUUGGGGCUUAAUCUGCAGCGCCUUUACGGCGGCUGCAGGCCCCUAAUUACAGUGGCGGACCCGCCGAGGCCCCGAGCGCAGUAGUGUAUCUCCUCGCUCCAGGGCGCCGCGGCGGGCUCUCCUGCCGUAAAAACCCCACUAUUUUUCAA